UACGUAGGGUGCAAGCGUUAAUCGGAAUUACUGGGCGUAAAGCGUGCGCAGGCGGUUUUGUAAGUCUGUCGUGAAAGCCCCGGGCUUAACCUGGGAAUUGCGAUGAAGACUGCAAGGCUAGAAUCUGGCAGAGGGGGGUAGAAUUCCACGUGUAGCAGUGAAAUGCGUAGAGAUGUGGAGGAACACCGAUGGCGAAGGCAGCCCCCUGGGUCAAGAUUGACGCUCAUGCACGAAAGCGUGGGGAGCAAACAGG
rnacentral:rRNA from 1 species